GUAGACAAUGUGGAUGUGACUGGGAGAAUCUACUGGGGAAGGAAGCAGACAAUGUGGAUGUGACUGGGAGAAUCUACUGGGGAAGGAAGUAGACAAUGUGGAUGUGACUGGGAGAAUCUACUGGGGAAGGAAGUAGACAAUGUGGAUGUGACUGGGAGAAUCUACUGGAGGAGGAAGUAGACAAUGUGGAUGUGACUGGGAGAAUCUACUGGAGGAGGAAGCAGACAAUGUGGAUGUGACUGGGAGAAUCUACUGGAGGAGGAAGCAGACAAUGUGGAUGUGACUGGGAGAAUCUACUGGAGGAGGAAGCAGACAAUGUGGAUGUGACUGGGAGAAUCUACUGUGGAAGGAAACAGACAAUGUGGAUGUGACUGGGAGAAUCUACUGGAGGAGGAAGUAGACAAUGUGGAUGUGACUGGGAGAAUCUACUGUGGAAGGAAAUAGACAAUGUGGAUGUGAUUGGGAGAAUCUACUGUGGAAGGAAAUAGACAAUGUGGAUGUGACUGGGAGAAUCUACUGGGGGAGGAAGUAGACAAUGUGGAUGUGACUGGGAGAAUCUACUGGAGGAGGAAGUAGACAAUGUGGAUGUGACUGGGAGAAUCUAUUGGAGGAGGAAGUAGACAAUAUGGAUGUGAGGGAAACAAUCUACUGGAGGAGGAAGUAGACUAUGUGGAUGUGAGGGGAACAAUAUACUGGUUACUGUACCAGCACCAACUCUCUCUCUCCUUCUGUGUGUGUGUGUGUGUGUGUGUGUGUGUGUGUGUGUGUGUGUGUGUGUGUGUGUGUGUGUGUGUGUGUGUGUGUGUGUGUGUGUGUGUGUGUGUGUGUGUGUGUGUGUGUGUGUGUGUGUGUGUGUAAGCGGAAAACUCCUCUUGCACAGUAACUUAUCCGCACAAUACUAUUUAACUUUUUUUAUCCUUUUGAGUUGUUUCUGUAAACUUUUUAAAACUCUUUAAUUGCAAGGCUAGGGGAAAAACAAAUGACAGGCAAAACUAUUGUAUUUAAAUUCCGAGAAUGUAAUGAAACAUAAAUGUAUAAUGCAUCUGGCUGGGGACACUGGAGUGUAGUGUGAAUAAUUAACAAUGUUAUAUUAUCCUGCUGUUAGAAACUCCUCAGCUAUCCUACUUUAAAAUGCUGCUGCUCAUUUCAUUGUGGAUCUGUUUUUUUCAUUAAAGCAUCAGGAAAAUAA
rnacentral:lncRNA from 1 species